ensembl:lncRNA
GAAAGGACCGGGCUGUCUCUCAACCUGAGGGAUCCUGUCCUCUCUGGCUCUGCAAUGCCUUACACAGCAGAUAUGUAAGAAGCCUCUUCCCCUGAUGCUGCGGGCACCUACUGAUUCUCAAAGAAAAAGGAACAUACAGAACAAAACUGAACCCAAAUCAGGACCUGCAGCCAAGCCCAGGCAAGCCUACAUCAGAUCAGACAAACUCCAGUUCUCCUGCAGAUACCUAUGAGAUGGAAUGGCUCGCUGAGGACCCACACUUCUCAUGUCCUGCCCCAGGGGUUGCCCAUGCCCCUGAGGUGCAAGCUGCUAUAGGGCAUCUACUAGGCACCUUCGCGCCUCUGAUCCUGAAGUGCAGAGAAACUGACGUCCCUCAGACAUCCUUCUUCCUUCCUCCUCGCGGAUGGAUGAGACUGAGAUGAGGGAGUUUCCUAUGGUCUUCAAG